rnacentral:tRNA from 1 species
GGAUGUAGCUCAGAGGUAGAGUGCUUGCCAAGCAUGCCUGAGGCCUUGGGUUCUAUCCCCAGCACCA